rnacentral:rRNA from 1 species
GACGAACGCUGGCGGCGUGCCUAAUACAUGCAAGUCGAGCGAAGCGGCGGAUGGGUGAGUAACGUGUGGGUAACCUGACCUUAAGUCUGGGAUACCAUUUGGAAACAGAUGCUAAUACCGGAUACUAAAGGAUGGACCUGCGAUGCAUUAGCUAGUUGGUAAGGUAACGGCUUACCAAGGCGAUGAUGCAUAGCCGAGUGGAGCGACUGAUGGGCAAAAUGGGGACUGAGACACGGCCCAAACUCCUACGGGAGACAGCAGUAGGAAAUCUUCGACAAUGGACGAAAGUCUGAUGGGGCAACGCCGCGUGAGUGAAAAGGGUUUUCGGAUCGUAAGGCUCUGUUGUUGGUGAAGCGGUAAUCAACCAGAAAGUCACGGCUAACUACGUGCCAGCAGCCGCGGUAAUUC